CGUUUAUCUCACCGCACAAGUCCUCUGAUAAAGGCUACGUUAGUUGUCACAAGGUGUCAGUGCAAACUUGAGUUUAAUUACACAAACUUGUAUGCUUUCUCAGGUUUUAAACAUGCCGUGUUUAAAGAGGAAAGACACAUCCCCCCUUUGUCUUUGUUUUAACAUAUUGCACAUGUAACGAAAAUGAGAAUCGGAUCAUAGAGUUAGAGUUCAUAUAAACAGAUUGUAUUCCCAUUUAGACAGUAGCUAUUUACUCCAAAUAAGCUCGCGUUCUUUAGCUAAACGGCCCUAAACCGUUUCCCAUUCAUUCUCAAUGGUAGUGCUAAACCACUACGGAUGCAAUAUACUUUCGGCCGCUAGCGCUCUCGUGGCGCUCUUCCGCGUUUCGGCACCGCGGGAAGUUUGAAUUCGCAGAAGAAGAAAACAGCCUCGGUUGUUUAAUUCAACGCAUUCUCAGCGCAUCUGUCAAAGAGACCACUGUUUCUACACUGCUGUCAUCUUCUCCUGGUACCAUGCAGAUCCUCAGUCAGAUGCAGGAAGUACAUAUACGCCACCUCUGCCUCUGCUGGCCUCACCUGAGACCCGUACUGGACCUGUGAAGACUGAUGGCAGGGUGUUGAGCACAAACAUAGCCCAUUGACAACUUGCUUAAUAAACACCGUGGGAAGAAGCACAUCCUCAGGAGCAUGCAGCAGUGGUCCACAAUUCCUCUACUGAUCCAAACAGCAUGCUCCAUUCGACCACAAAACUGCACAUUUCACUGUAUGUCAAGCACCUGGCCAAACUACUGAACAUCAGUUCUUUAUUAAACAACUCCAGAGAAACGCCUUGAAAGCGGGUAGUGAAUCAACCAGUGUGCCAGUGGUAACAAUGAAGCCUGCGGAUGCAAACCCACCAGCACCUGCUCUGACCACACUCCUAACUCAUGAGACCAUUGAGACAAUUGUGUUAUGGAGCGGCAGCAGCAACCUGAGGAGAAGACUUGUCUUGCUUGUGGACAGCCAAAGAUGGUUCCUCUAUCCACUUUUUUCUUAAUCAGCAAGGCCCUGUCAGGUACUUCUACUGUUCCACAAAGGUUUUUAAUGCUUACAGUGAUUAAGAACUAACACACCCCAGAGUUAUUUAAGAGUGAACUUGAGGACACAAAGAAAUGGGUGCAGGAGAAAGGACAGCAAAAACACAAAAGGCCUGAAAUUGAACACGUUAGUCGCUUGUGCAGAUUUUGUAAAAUGGAGCUGAAGCAGGGUCCAAACAGUCCUCACAUACACACAGGCUUUCCUGGCAUAGCAGGGAAAUAUGUUAAUUGCCCUGCUGAAGUCUUUUCCAUUUACCAACCUCAGGACAUGCAGAAAGAUGACCUGGAAAGAGUUUAAAGUGUCUGCAUUUUACGAGAUGGAAAGACAGAGAUGUGUGGCAGAAAAAAAAAAGAAAUAAAUGACAUUUCUUGAUCUUUUGCCCCUUAGUAAUAUUUAACUCAUGUAUAUACUGUAUAUUUUGAUUUGUUUAUUGUUCAGUGUGAGACUGUUAUAUGUAUAUUUUGUCAGAAUUCUAUUUUUCUUUAUACUUUAUUAUUUUGGAUCAGUAUUUACUAAUCUUAAAAACAACUGAAAAUUACAAAUUGCUUCACGAGUGCUGUGUUCUUUUUCAUAGGACAAAUAUUUUACAGUUUCUAUGGUUUUGGAAACCCUUAAUUGAUUAUUUAACUUAAGUGUGACUUAAAUUAUUCCAUCACUUAAUCAAUUUUCAUUUAGUACUUGAAUAUUACUUAGUUUGAGUCAAAUUUAAAUGCCUCUUAUUUUCAUUUCAAAAGCCAUUUAAUAGAGACCAUUCAUGUUUAAUAUAACCAUUAUUAUAUAAUUCAUGUUUUCAUAUAACCAUGUAAUGUAUACUAUUAUUUUACUGUAUUUCUUUUAAUACUAAUCAUCUAUUCAUAAUACACAAAUUUAAAAUACUUUGCAGCUGUAAUGUAUUGGUAAAUUUUAUAAUUUUGUUUGAUAAAAAGACAAAGCUGUGUUUGUGUAAUGGUUUAGAUCUGCGUGAGUGGGAUUCGAACCCCGGUCCAAAUAAAUACAUGAAAAAUAUCUGAUUGGCCGUGACAUCAUUUCCGCUCUUUGGCUAUGGAAUUAUUUUUGUGUCUUUAUUAUGCAAACAAAAAUUCUGUGUUUGAGAGCAAAAGUAAUUAUUUUGUAAUUUAAAAACUUUUCAUCACGAAACCACAAAUAUUGCUCUCUUUUCUGCCGUGUUUUUUUGCGAGUCUAAAACUUUUGUUUGCGAGUUGAAAAGUUUUGCUUGCGAGUGAAGCUGUGUCUCAGUGGGCGGUCUCUACGCACCAGGAUGAAAUGCCUAUUUCUAUUGGCCAUUCUCGAUUGAAGUGACAGGUUGACCACGCCCACUACGCUUUCCCGCCACUGCCGCCAGUCUGACAGAAGAGCGAGCUUCUAUCAGCAAUGGCCAGCAACCGCUCGUUUACUGGUGAAAUAAAAUGGCCACAACCAAAAAAGUGAUUUGUGACACACUUGAAGAUCUUCUGGAAAAGGAGUUUGAAAAAUUCAAAUGGGAGCUGUGGAAUGGUGUAGCGCCAGACAUCAGCCCCAUUUCUCGAGGAAAGUUGGAAAAAGCUAAAAGCCAUGAUGUUGUGGAUCUCAUGGUGCAGCAGUACGGCCCUUCAGACGCCGGGAAGAUUGCAGUCAGAGCACUACACAACAUUAAUCAAAAUGAGCUUGCUGUCCAACUGAAGGGAAAACUUCAGGAAGUUCCAGAAGACGUUUCUGCUGAAGGUGGAGCUUCAUCCGGUGCAGCGGCUGCAAACGCUUCAACUGCGGGAGUUAAACAGACCAUCUCUAACAGUGGAGGAACCGUAAAGGCCCAUGUUCUUCAUGGUGGUGUUUUUAACGGUCCAGUGAACUUCAGCUAAUGUUCAGGGAUCUAUCUAUCUUAUAACAAUGAUUUUAAUGACUAAAAUGGAAAGAAACUAAAGCAUUUGUUAUUUGGUGUUUGAUUAUUUAGACAGCUCGUAGUUUAAUAGGUAAAAUCCUCAUAUUUGAAAUGGAAGCUGACUUGUGAAUUCUUAUUUACUUAGUUUUUAUGCUUAUUUACCACAGCCACAUAUAUGUUUUAUACAUUAAACUAUAUACAUUUUUUUUUUACGAUUUCAAUGUAUUUGAGCCUAAAAACAGUCUGAGUAAUUUUGAACAUCAACUCUCAAGUGGCAGCUUUCUAAAAAUGCCUGUUAUGUGUGGAAUCUGAAUGAUUAAUGACAAAGUUUUUAUUUUGAGUUUGUCAUUUAUGUACUUCCUUGCCACAACAUAGGGGGUACCUGAGAAGGGGGGCUGCCAAUGUUUGUAUAACAUAUUCAUUAAAAACCGCUAUAAGCACA